AACGAACGCUGGCGGCAGGCCUAACACAUGCAAGUCGAACGAGAUCUUCGGAUCUAGUGGCGGACGGGGUGAGUAACGCGUGGGAACGUGCCCUUCUCUACGGAAUAGUCCUGGGAAACUGGGUUUAAUACCGAAUACGCCCUUUGGGGGAAAGAUUUAUCGGUAAAAGGAUCGGCCCGCGUUGGAUUAGGUAGUUGGUGGGGUAAUGGCCUACCAAGCCGACGAUCCAUAGCUGGUUUGAGAGGAUGAUCAGCAACACUGGGACUGAGACACGGCCCAGACUCCUACGGGAGGCAGCAGUGGGGAAUCUUAGACAAUGGGGGGCAACCCUGAUCUAGCCAUGCCGCGUGAGUGAAGAAGGCCUUAGGGUCGUAAAGCUC
rnacentral:rRNA from 1 species